rnacentral:tRNA from 1 species
GGGGGGUUACCCGAGUGGUCAAAGGGGUCAGACUGUAAAUCUGAUGGCGAUGCCUUCGUAGGUUCGAAUCCUACACCCCCCA